CCCUUUGUCCCCAGCACCGAUUGGCAAAGGCAGGAUCUGCUUCCCAGCACCGCAGGCAGCGCGCUCCUGGACAUGAUGCUGCCAGAGGUUUCCCUGUGGAUUUCAGUGGGCUCACAGCUUGCAGCAGAGAUGCCCCACUGUGCAUUCACCAAAGCUGAGCAAAACCAUGGACCACAAGGAUGCACUGGGGAUGCUGCCCAGAGUGAGAGAGGUCACAGGCCUGGGGAGCUGGUCCUGCUGCUCUUUGGCUGGAGCUGCAGCCCUGGUUGUGUCUGC